rnacentral:rRNA from 1 species
CCUACGGGUGGCAGCAGUGGGGAAUAUUGGACAAUGGGCGAAAGCCUGAUCCAGCCAUGCCGCGUGUGUGAAGAAGGCCUUCGGGUUGUAAAGCACUUUCAGUGGGGAAGAAAGCCUUGGGGCUAAUACCCUCGAGGAAGGACAUCACCCACAGAAGAAGCACCGGCUAACUCCGUGCAAGCAGCCGCGGUAAUACGGAGGGUGCGAGCGUUAAUCGGAAUUACUGGGCGUAAAGCGCGCGUAGGCGGUCUGAUAAGCCGGUUGUGAAAGCCCCGGGCUCAACCUGGGAACGGCAUCCGGAACUGUCAGGCUAGAGUGCAGGAGAGGAAGGUAGAAUUCCCGGUGUAGCGGUGAAAUGCGUAGAGAUCGGGAGGAAUACCAGUGGCGAAGGCGGCCUUCUGGACUGACACUGACGCUGAGGUGCGAAAGCGUGGGUAGCAAACAGGAUUAGAUACCCUUGUAGUC